UACGGGGGGGGCAAGCGUUGUUCGGAAUUACUGGGCGUAAAGGGCUCGUAGGCGGCCAACUAAGUCAGACGUGAAAUCCCUCGGCUUAACCGGGGAACUGCAUCUGAUACUGGAUGGCUUGAGUUCGGGAGAGGGAUGUGGAAUUCCAGGUGUAGCGGUGAAAUGCGUAGAUAUCUGGAGGAACACCGGUGGUGAAGGCGGCAUCCUGGACCGGCAUUGACGCUGAUGAGCGAAAGCCAGGGGAGCAAACGGG
rnacentral:rRNA from 1 species